rnacentral:rRNA from 1 species
UAACGCGUGAGGAACCUGCCUUCCAGAGGGGGACAACAGUUGGAAACGACUGCUAAUACCGCAUGACACAUGACCGUGGCAUCACGGACAUGUCAAAGAUUUAUCGCUGGAAGAUGGCCUCGCGUCUGAUUAGCUGGUAGGCGGGGUAACGGCCCACCUAGGCGACGAUCAGUAGCCGGACUGAGAGGUUGACCGGCCACAUUGGGACUGAGAUACGGCCCAGACUCCUACGGGAGGCAGCAG